CUCGACGUAGCCAAGUGGUCGAAGGCGCCUGAUUGCAAAUCAGGUGGCGCAAGCCCCCGUCCGUUCGAAUCGGACCGUCGAGUCCA
rnacentral:tRNA from 1 species